AGGGCAUGGGCCAAGGGCACAUCACUUAAGCUCAAGACUUACAGCUGUGCUUUGUGCAUCUCAAUGGCUUGUGGGCAUUUCCCGGAUCAAACCCAGGGCCUUCUGCAUGCCAGCAGGACACAGCGAGAUGGCUGGCCUUGGAGAAGACUCACCAGACACUGAAUAUGCCAGCACCCUGACCUUGGACUUCAAGCCCCAGAACUAAGAAAAAUCAACAUCUGUUGUUUACAAGGCACUAAGUCUAUGGUUUUUAUUAUAGCAGCCUGAACAGACUACAGACUACAGCAGAUGAUAAUGCAGAAAUAGCCAUGUUUUAAAUGCUUACCCAUUUUCCAAGCAGAGCUUUUCUUUCUUCAAAUACCUGCAAUAGGUAAGAGAGAAUUGGGUGACUUCAUAUAUCAUGGUUCAAAAUAUCCAUUACAAGAACAGCAUCAUUGAAGGAUCAGUAAAUAAGUAUUCACUACGUCAACUCAGUAUGAAGAAUCCGGUGUCAUUCCCGGAAGGGUACUUUACUUAUUUUUAACAUAGGCAAUGUAUUUCUCCAUGUGAAAUACAUAAAAAAGAAUGAUUGUUCUUUAAGAGAAAUAAUAAAAAAAUGGAAUUAUAAAGAGAAGUCA